rnacentral:rRNA from 1 species
GACGAACGCUGGCGGCAGGCCUAACACAUGCAAGUCGAACGCCCUCUUCGGAGGGAGUGGCAGACGGGUGAGUAACGCGUGGGAACCUUCCCUGUGGUACGGAAUAACUCAGAGAAAUUUGAGCUAAUACCGUAUACGCCCUUCGGGGGAAAGAUUUAUCGCCAUAGGAUGGGCCCGCGUCGGAUUAGCUAGUUGGUGAGGUAAUGGCUCACCAAGGCAACGAUCCGUAGCUGGUCUUAGAGGAUGAUCAGCCACACUGGGACUGAGACACGGCCCAGACUCCUACGGGAGGCAGCAGUGGGGAAUAUUGGACAAUGGGCGCAAGCCUGAUCCAGCCAUGCCGCGUGAGUGACGAAGGCCUUAGGGUUGUAAAGCUCUUUUGGCGGGGACGAUAAUGACGGUACCCGCAGAAUAAGCUCCGGCUAACUUCGUG